UCCGGUUUGUCACCGACAUCUCUGCCGGCGUCCUGUGCAUGUCAAACCCAGGUAAGGUUCUUCGCGUUGCAUCGAAUUAAUCCACAUGCUCCGCCGCUUGUGCGGGCCCCCGUCAAUUCCUUUGAGUUUUAGCCUUGCGGCCGUACUCCCCAGGCGGGGUACUUAAUGCGUUAGCUACGGCACGGAUCCUUAGGAAAGAACCCACACCUAGUACCCACCGUUUACGGCGUGGACUAC
rnacentral:misc_RNA from 1 species